CCCUGGGUUCCACACAAAAAACAAUAAUACUUCCUCUCUAGUUUCAAUUUCAGUUUUCUGAACUGAGACUCACUUCAAAAAAAAUAAUUUCUUAAGAGGCUUCAUCAGCUUCCAUGUGUGCCUGCUAGAGACAGAACCCACUAGCACAGACCUUCUUCAGAAGGGAGAAAUGGGAAGUUGCUGUCGACCAUGAUCCUUAUGUCCCAGAGGGAAGGAAACUAACAGCGCAGCUUUCAAUUUUCUGUGACCUAUGGUUUGCAGAUCCAGGGUGAUUCCAAGGAAAGGUGGAGAGGGGAAGUGCACUUGGAAGUUCAACUCCAACUCCGGCAAAUCUCCUGGCGUUUCUGAGACUUUGGGAAGCCCAGCGUUCAACAAGGAGUUUCAUGGGAGAGACAGGUAGGUUCAGCGAAAGAGUGAAAAAAGUCCAGUUUUGGCCAGCAUCCUAAAUUUCGAGAAGCAUAACCUGGAGAAGCUCAGAUCUUCUGAUUUAGAGCUCAGAAAAACCAGCCAGCUUCACCGACUGUUUGACUGCAGCUCCACAGGUGACCACAGAGUGGAGU